GAGGGGCUAAGUUCAUCGAUGUUUCAGAGCUAUGCUGGAAACAGCAUAGCAAGUUGAAAUAAGGCUAGUCCGUUAUCAACUUGAAAAAGUGGCACCGAGUCGGUGCUUUUUUU
rnacentral:sRNA from 1 species